GAUGUGAUUGGCCAUGCAAGGAGUUCUGCCUGGCAACAAGAGAACUAAUGCACUGAUUGGUAGAUAAUUACAAAAGGCGGUCCUCUUCGUCUGGUCUGUUGUUUGCUGCUGAGACCGGUUUCAGUGUAAAGUUAAUUAACGGGGUUUUUCACCGUGUGCCAUUUUAAGUGAUAUAAGACAAGAACAUGUGGAAAUGUGUCUGAUCAUCGCAACUCUAUCCUUGAUGUGCCAGUGGGGAGCUUACUCGAAGACACCAAUCUUCAGCCCCCCAACUCCUUGCAUUUGACUUCCUCUAUAGGGAUAAUACUUGGAGGCCAAGUGGUGAUGGACAAAAUGCAGGAUGUCUCAUAAGCAAUGUGUCUUCUCUUUGGUCUUAUUUAUGCGUUAGACCCAAAUUCCCUCGCAAACACGUUUGAUGUCAAUGGGGCAGAACACCCUCAAUCCUAAAGUACAGUCUUUGGCAAACCCACUUUUUGGUGAAGAAAAAUGUUUAGGUCUCCUUGUUGCAGAUUUUGAGUCAGCAUUGUUAGAUUUACAUACUCAGAGCAAUUUUUUUUAAUUGAUUAACUGGAUUAUCCAUAAAUGAAGGAGAAAAAGUAUAAUAGUAUUUUAAAUUGUUUAAGUGCACAGAGUUCUUCCACUGAUGGAGUGCAGUAGUUAAUGUGGGACAUUGUUACCAAGUCUUCAGUGCUGUACAGUGUGGUCGUGACACAUUUCCAUUAUAGUAUAGUGUGUACUGUAAUUUCAUUAAUUUUGUGAACAUUGGUCAAUAAAGACAUUCAAUAUGCUAUUCA